rnacentral:tRNA from 6 species
GCGGGCGUGGCGGAAUCGGUAGACGCAAAGGACUUAAAAUCCUUCGCUUAGGCAUGCGGGUUCGAGUCCCGCCGCCCGCACCA